rnacentral:rRNA from 1 species
UACGGGGGGGGCAAGCGUUGUUCGGAAUUAUUGGGCGUAAAGGGCGCGUAGGCGGCAAAUCAAGUCAGCUGUGAAAUCUCUGAGCUUAACUCAGAACGGUCAGCUGAUACUGCUUUGCUAGAGUGCGGAAGGGGCAAUCGGAAUUCUUGGUGUAGCGGUGAAAUGCGUAGAUAUCAAGAGGAACACCUGAGGUGAAGACGGGUUGCUGGGCCGACACUGACGCUGAGUGCGCGAAAGCCAGGGGAGCAAACGGG